rnacentral:rRNA from 1 species
CUACGGGAGGCAGCAGUGGGGAAUAUUGGGCAAUGGGCGAAAGCCUGACCCAGCGACGCCGCGUGAGGGACGAAGGCCUUCGGGUUGUAAACCUCUUUCAGCAGGGAAGAAGCGAAAGUGACGGUACCUGCAGAAGAAGCACCGGCUAACUACGUGCCAGCAGCCGCGGUAAUACGUAGGGUGCAAGCGUUGUCCGGAAUUAUUGGGCGUAAAGAGCUCGUAGGUGGUUUGCCACGUCGGAUGUGAAAACCUGAGGCUUAACCUCAGGCCUGCAUUCGAUACGGGCAGACUAGAGUGUGGUAGGGGAGACUGGAAUUCCUGGUGUAGCGGUGAAAUGCGCAGAUAUCAGGAGGAACACCGGUGGCGAAGGCGGGUCUCUGGGCCAUAACUGACACUGAGGAGCGAAAGCGUGGGGAGCAAACAGGAUUAGAUACCCUGGUAGUCCACGCCGUAAACGGUGGGCACUAGAUGUGGGGACCUUCCACGGUCUCUGCGUCGCNGCUACGCAUAGUCGCCCGCCGUCGGGAGGUACGGCCGCGACGACGUAAACCUACAAAUAGAAGUUAGACGGCGUGAGACGUAGCCGACGGACGACGACGAGGGAGGUAGG